rnacentral:rRNA from 1 species
UACGAAGGGGGGCUAGCGUUGUUCGGAAUUACUGGGCGUAAAGGGCGCGUAGGCGGCUUAUCAAGUCAGGGGUGAAAUCCGGCAGCUUAACUGUCGAAGUGCCCUUGAUAACUGAUGAGCUCGAGGGAGAUAGGGGUGUGUGGAACUUCCGGUGGAAGCGGUGAAAUGCGUUGAUAUCGGAAGGAACGCCGGUGGCGAAAGCGACACACUGGAUCUCUUCUGACGCUG